rnacentral:rRNA from 1 species
GUGGCGCACGGGUGCGUAACACGUAUGCAACCUACCUAUCACAGGGGGAUAGCCCGGAGAAAUCCGGAUUAAUACCCCAUAAUACAGGGAUCCCGCAUGGGAAUAUUGUUAAAGCUGAGGCGGUGAUAGAUGGGCAUGCGUCCGAUUAGCUAGUUGGCGGUGUAACGGACCACCAAGGCAACGAUCGGUAGGGGGUCUGAGAGGAUGAUCCCCCACACUGGUACUGAGAUACGGACCAGACUCCUACGGGAGGCAGCAGUAGGGAAUAUUGGUCAAUGGGCGAGAGCCUGAACCAGCCAUGCCGCGUGCAGGAAGAAGGCGUUCUGCGUUGUAAACUGCUUUUAUCAGGGAAGAAAACGCUCCUGCGGGGGUAACUGACGGUACCUGAUGAAUAAGCACCGGCUAACUCCGUGCCAGCAGCCGCGGUAAUACGGAGGGUGCAAGCGUUGUCCGGAUUUAUUGGGUUUAAAGGGUGCGUAGGCGGGUUCUUAAGUCAGUGGUGAAAGCCGGCAGCUCAACUGUCGAAUUGCCAUUGAUACUGGGGACCUUGAGUACAGAUGAGGUAGGCGGAAUUUAUGGUGUAGCGGUGAAAUGCAUAGAUACCAUAAAGAACACCGAUAGCGAAGGCAGCUUACUAAACUGUAACUGACGCUGAGGCACGAAAGC